AAAAAACUACGGCAGGCCUGAGGAUUUCAGGGUAACGUUCCUUAUUGGUAGCGUGUCGUUUCCGUGGCGUCAUUUUGACGGUACAGAAAAAUGGUUUCCCAUAAAAGUCACCGCACACGAGUUGACUGUACGCGAUUGAAUCUCUCCUGCGUGAUCAACGCGAUUUCACUGUGCCUGUGAGUGUGAGUGUGUUUCUUCUAAUUUACUUUGGUUUUGUUUUGUUUUCAGUGUUGGCGGGGCGAAACAGAUAACAUUAUGUGUGCAUGUGGGUUGCUAUUUUAGUCCACAAACUGAGGAAUCGCGGGGAUGACAGUUUGA